rnacentral:lncRNA from 1 species
CAUGUAACAGGAUUUAUUUACCCAUUUAAUCCAACUCUCAUUACUAGUGUGAGUUGAAUAUGUUGUUUAUAUGGUUGAAGUUGUUUCAUAUACUUACUAUCUGAACAAAUAAUUUGAUUUUUUCAUAAAUUCACAGCAAUAAUUUGAUUUGUUGAAUAAAGUGACAAAUCAACACAAACUAAUUGACCUAACACUGUACAGGAAAUGCUUGGAAGUUGGAACCAUGCCCAAGUCAGCUUCCAAAAUAACUUGAAACUCCAAUCUGACUUCAACUCUCAGCCCCCCUAUUACUCAGUUCACAUAGCGUGCAGGGGAUAGUCGAUGACGAAGGCCACGAAGCUCGAGAAGUCUAAAAAAUACAUGCACAGUCCAAGGCACCUGAAGGUUGUCACUGUACAGCUGGCAGCCUGAAGACGACAAAACCACCUGGUACUUGGUUAGACCUCUUUGAUGAACAAGUAUCUCAUGAACCGUGAUAUUCAAGCAGGACUCGGCUGGAAUAAUUUCCUCGCAAAAGGAACUCAGAGACGUACCCUCCUACAAAAUUUUAUCAGCUGUCGGUUGAGCAAUAAACUAUGUAGUUUGGCUGUUCUUACAAACUUACCAAGCUCAGAAGAGAUCCAAGGUCGUUCCAGUCGAACUAAGAUUGAAGCAUAAUUGCUUCCUUGAGAAGACAUCCAAGCAUCCAAGUCUCUGCAAAACCAUGCGACAAAUUGAACUUAAAGGAUCACCAAGUUGACAAAUAAUUAGAGAACAGCAAAAAGAAAUUACGCUCUUGCCUUUCUGUGAAGCUCUUUCACUAGCUAAUAGCUUGUACGUACCUGCUGCAUUGACAUAGAUACCAUCAGAUUUUAGACCGAACAGUUACCGGUGUUGCUCCACGAGAGCUUCAAAACGUUUGUGAAGAUCCUGGCCAUGAUUUCCAUGUGUCAAGUUCAGAAGUACACUGAGAAACAAGUAGAACCACAUAGGUAACAAAACUUAAAAACAGAAUCAGACAAGUCUUACAAUGGACAUCUUGCAUCAGACACAUCAUGCGUCUAGCAGGAAGCUUGCUAUCUGAAACCUCCUGG